CGUUAUUCGGAAUUACUGGGCUUAAAGGGUGCGUAGGCGGCGCAGAAAGUUGGGUGUGAAAUCCCUCGGCUCAACCGAGGAACUGCGCCCAAAACUACUGUGCUUGAGGAAGAUAGAGGUAAGCGGAACUUACGGUGGAGCGGUGAAAUGCGUUGAUAUCGUAAGGAACACCUGUGGCGAAAGCGGCUUACUGGGUCUUUUCUGACGCUGAUGCACGAAAGCCAGGGGAGCAAACGGG
rnacentral:rRNA from 1 species